rnacentral:lncRNA from 13 species
AUGAAUGGCUUGGGGAUGAGUUUGUUUCACCAUCCUGAUCCUUCUUCAUUGUUUCAGGUUAUUCACUAUCUCUUUCCCAAACCUGCUAGGAUGUUACUGCUUAGGACACCAGCCAUUGCAGAAACUGCGUCUCAAAUCCCAGCUUUCACUCUUCUUCCCAUGUCUUACCUUUUCAACUCUUCAUUUGCUUUCCCUGACCUUUGGCAUGCAGGCUCUUGCAAGAAGGAGCUCAAGAAAACUAUGUGCCAUGUUGAAUUCCUGAUUUACAUUAACACUAAUAUGGAGGCUACAAAACUGGAAGAUCACUCAAGGAUAAUAUCUGGAACAUCCAAUAUCUCAACCAUCAAAACUCAGAAAUUGGGUUAUGUUACUGAAGGAAGUCCAAGGGCAAACAAUAACACUAUUCUGUAGAACAAUAAGCUCAGAGAAAUGCUUUAAAAGGGUUCCAAGUCAGACCACUGGAUCACCUUUCAGCCUGAAUUGGCCAAUCAGUUUGGCAAAUAUUUUUACUGUGCUGAUCACCAGUUUGAAUGACUUGACCAAAUAGUUGUUUUGGCAUUCUCUAAAAUGUUACCAAGGGAUUUGGCAUGCAAUUCUGGUUAUGUAACUACCUUGCUUGCUCAAAUUUCUUCAAAGGCUUCUCUUUGUGGUGUGAUCCAAAAAUCACAUAGGGGGAUUUUAAAUGCAGAAUUCCGAUACCCAUCCCCAGUCUACUGAACUAGAGUUUUGAGGAAAGUGGGUUCUGGGAAUAUACAUUUUUAAGUUUUUCCACAAGUGAGUCUUUGGGUCCUCAAUUUAUAGACAGAAAUCUAAUAUUUGCAGGAUCACCUGCAAGGUUCUUCAUGAUAAGUCUCCAAAGUUCCCACUUUAAUCUGAUGUCAUUCAACUCACAUAACACCCACACAUUCCCCAAAUGUGCCUCAUUUUUUCAUAUCUUUUUGCCUUUGACCCUGCUCCUUCCUUAGCAAUAGUCUUUAUCCUCAGUUUUAGGUAUAUUUGGCCAACUUUUAUCCUUUUUCAAGAGUAAGGUCCAUAUCACCUCUUCUGUAAAGCCCUCCCUGAUUAACCAAGGAGUGUGCUUUCCCAUGUUUUGUGCCUUGCAUCUCAACUACUGAAUUGUAAGAUUUAUCCCAUUAUAGAGUAGGGGUUCAUUUACUUAAUUACAUCUCUGUUGGCUCCUUCUGGGCAUAAACUACUCUUUGGGAAGAGAUGAGACAUACAUUUAGUGGCAAGCCACUUUUGAAUAAACUUUUCAGUAACAACUGUGUUUUGUUCUGA